AGAAAUCGGAUGUUGGAUCAUGUAAUAUUCAUCUUGACAAGAAAUUAUUGACAUGAUAAAAUAUAUAUCACAAGCAAAAGGGCUAUAGCUCAGUUAGGUAGAGCACCUCGUUUACACGCGCGCCGAUGUUUUUUCAGAGGAGUACAUUAUGGAAUCAAAAAACUUAUUGAGAAGUUGAUGUCUUACUCCAUGACUUUUAGGGAACAAGAGAACAAUAGCCUGACAAAAGAUUCGGUCCAAUUUAGGUGCCCCUUUUUUAUUUUUAGAUUUUAGGCAACCAAUAGAACCCAUUAUUGAUUUAAGAUAUUGAUAAGGGGAAUACUCACUCUAUUCAAUGCUAGGCAUAAUGAGUAUAAAGACCUCAAAAAAUUCUUUUUUCGUCUUAUCUUAUGAACUUUAAGGUGUAUGAAGUUUCAUAUUGGAUUAUUUAAGUAACAAGGGGGCGAUGGAGACUUCAUUUAACUUAGGUUGAUCUAAGCCAAAAGCAAACUUACAUCAGGAUACCUUCUUUGAAACACUUCGGUAGUGCUCUCAGAUCGGAAUCCAAAUAAGAAAUCAGAGCACAUGGAGCCAUCUUCUUAUCUUCUUGUCAAGAGAAUUAUGGUAGACUAACUGAUUAUUUAUAUCAGUUAAUGGAAGAGCCGAAUGCAAAAAAAUACAUGUUGGGUCUUUGAAACAAUUCAAAUCAUUUUGAGAAUAAUCAGUUUGAUCUGUUUUACCGAGAAGGUCUACGGUUCGAGUCCGUAUAGCCCUAAAAAAAAUGAAAUAAAAUUCAAAUACAAAAACAAAAAUUGUAUAGUUUUUAUUUCUUCAUUAUUGUAUUGUUUGUUGUUUGUAACUAACCGCUUGCAAUUGCUUAGUUUAUCAAAAAAUGAAAAAAAAAAGCAUUUUCAUAAGCUUGCUCGCAGGAAUCAUUCAGGAUAGAGUAUAAAGCUGAAAUAAAAAAAAAGUGCACUUCAAUAGACCCGAUCGCUAUUUUUUUUUUUAUCUUGUCUUGGCUAAACAAACCCAAUUUUCUUCAUUACUCUUCCUAAGUCAAUUACAUAUGAAUUUUUCCCCUUUCUUAUCCGCAAUCAAAAAGAGUUAGUGAUACUUCUUUUCUUUGUCUUUGGGAUACCUGCCGAAGCCUAAUGAAUUUUUGGAGUCAAAAUCAUGACACGAACUCAUUUAAAAACAAAUUCCAACCUAACUCAACAAAAAUCAAAUCUACUAGUAAGUUACACAGAUUUAAAAAUGACUUACUCUAUUUAUGGACAAGCUGGAGUUUGAAAAAUGAGGAUCUUUAUUAACUUUCAUUAUUAACAUUGUAAAACGGGCUCUUCUUUUUUCUUUUAUUGCGAUACCUUACCUGGUAUAGCAAUAAAAG